rnacentral:lncRNA from 1 species
ACUCCGACUGCUCUGAGGUCCAGGGAAGGGGCCUGUGCUGCCGCUUGGAGGGUGCCAUGCCCAGAGCCUCUGCCCCUAGCCUCAGCCUCGCCUACUCACUGGGGGCUCCAGCACCCCCGGCCACCCCAGGACUCCCGAAGAGGCUGCUAGGUCGGCCUGCCCAAAGAGCGGUGAGGAGCGUAUGUGAAGAGCCCCAGUCUUGAGGAGCAGCCUGUAUCUGGAGAGAGGGGAGCCCCGGACCAGAGGUGGGGGACAGGAAGCCAUCGCCCCACCCUGCCUCCUCCCCCACCACAGGUACCAGGCCCGGAAACCACGGAAAGGGGAACUUGGUCUUUUCUUGUUUUGCUCUCAACCCCUUCCUGUCUCCAAG